UAACCCAAGAAAUAUUGUAUAAAAGAAAUGUUUUGCAGACAAUUCCUCUGAUAUUCUUAACCGCCCCCCCAAAGAAAAAAUCCUAACUCCGCCAGUGGUCACAUGUUCUUACUGUUUGGACAACACAUUACUUCCACAAGGUAUGUUCGACUUGCAUGUUACUAUAGUAUAGCAAUAUGUCCUUUCUACCUCUUUACACGUUCACGCUUUUGCAUUUUCUGCAAUCUACAUUGUUGCCAUGAGAUGUGUUAAAAGACUCUUGAAUCAUCUUUCCUCAUUGAAAUGAAUGGACAUGUCAUCAAUCCGUCCCAGAAUUAUAGUUCAUGAAACUCUGAUGUGUUAAACUCAAAAUAAAAUAAAAAUAUAUCAGCUGAAAUACUUGAAAGUGUUGUAAGUCAGUUCACGUAUAUCUCAAGGCACCAAUGUACAUUUUCAAUAUGUAAUCCACACACGCUUUGCACCCUUCAUAUGAUACCCUUCAGCUCCAGAUUGUCUCUAUAAAUGUGUUCCCGUCCACGAGACAAUAUGUCCUCACUAUAUGUCCUCAUGAAUCACUUCAUCACAUGUCCUCUUUCUGUAUUUUCCACACAAAGUGUCCUCAUGCGUGUCCUCCUCACUGCAUGUCCUCCACACUUGAGUCCAGUCUAGCCUGAGGCUAAACAUGAAAGUCAGUCUGGGAGAGGCGCUGAUGACAUAGUGGGCCAACAAGUGAUUUAAUUAAUAGUGAAACUCACUGGGCUGUCUUCGAGCUUCCAGGGCACGAAGAUGAUUGCCUCCCUGCGAUGUUAAAUAUUAAUCUCAUUAGAUCUCUGCUGGAGAAAGUGAAGGAAACCGACGUGUGCUUUUCAGACUGCGUAUGUGAAGCCACUUUUUGUGAUGUUUGUUUUUUUGGCGGGGGGGAGACGUGCGACCCCUGCGCGCACCGGGGCCAUCUGGGACUGACCUCACACUCUCCCGUGAACGUGUCACAACGUGUUUGUGGAGACCAAAUUAAAAAUGUGCAGUCUCCAAAGAGACCGUCUUUUCUAUCUCGCCUGCACAAAUAGAGUGCGACUCCUUAAGAUUUUCUGCUUUGCAAGUCAACAUCUCGAUGCAAACACAUUGUGGUUGCUCUGAGCUUUAAAUGUUACACCACAACCUAGUUUGCUCCUAGAAUAAUGAUUUCUCCACUGCAUCAGCCUUGCUGGGUGGACUCUGCAGUCGGGCUCGCUUUUGUCUAAGUGAUCAUUUCAGCACCUCGUGGAGUAACAGAUCAAUGAAGUGGGCGUCGAUUGCGCUGCGGGUCGAGGGUGAAAUGUGACUUCGGAGGAGUCUGCAGGAGCUUAGGCGGCUCUCGUGUGCAGCACCACGGACAGCGGCGCAGCCAGACGCGCCUCUUUCUCUCAACUUAGCCCGCCUUCCUUCUUUCCACCUUUUCAUUCGCUCCGCACGUUCGAGAGCGCUCCGGACGAUGUGCGCCGGAUCUGCGCUGCACGUCCAGCCCGCUGGAAGCUGAGGAAGCCCGCACAGGCUGUAAUCUCAAAAAGCACAGAGGAGGAGACUGAGCAAGUGGAUCCCACCGAUGCUUUCAAUGGCCUCAGUCAGAAUAAAAACACUGGUGCUGCUGUGAGAUCUGGUGCCGUUGUGCCUCGCUGUGUUCUUCUUCAGAGGCUGCCACAUCCAAAGCAGAUCAAACGCUGACCCCCGCCCAAAAAAAAAAA